AACGACGACGUUACCACUUUAACCGCAAAUUUUGAAGGAAGGCUCGAAGCGGUGCGUUUAGAUGAAGACAGAAACAGGCAGACAUAGUGCAUAGAAGAGGUUCGUUUGGUUUGCGAGAAAACAGAGAGUUCGGAAAAAAAUAAAAUAAAAUAAAAUAAAAACCAGAGAAAGCAAAUGGCGGUGAGUUCGCCGUACUGGGCGUCCGUACGGAUAAUAACGGGCACCAUUUCCGGCGGCAUUUUAGGCUUCUACGUUAUGCACCGUGUUGAAAUAAGCUACAAGGAGAAGAUGAAGGAGAGACUGAGAUUGUAUGAGAUUGAGAUGAAGAAGAGGCAAGAGAAGUUGAAUGAGCUUGAGGAUUCUGCCUAGUUUUGAAUGUUAUGAAGUAGUUCUAAACUUUUCCUUUUUUCUUUUGAUUUUAAGCUUUUUGGUUUCUGUGAAAUUAUAGGAAAGUUGAGGAACAGAAUGAACUCUUGAGUAUUGUGUAUUAUAUUGUUUUAGUCACCGAAAUAACGAGAAAUUUAAUUGCAAGUGAAAGUUGAGUUCUGAGGUAUCAAACAAUUCAGAUGGUCAGAUUCUCUUAUCUUGAAUUCUCUCAGUCUCAGCUACCAAACAGACUCACGUAAGAUUUUAGUGUUGAUGUUAAAGAAGGAGUUUCUAGAUUUGGCUUGGUGUACAUUGCUGAUGAUUUGGAGCAGUCCUGCCAAUGCGAUAAGCCAAUAACCAAGUAGACAAGAACUAGUGAAUGGUGCAAACUCCAAACCAAGCCAAUAAUUUGAAUUUUUUGGGGUAUUUCUCUUUGAAAGGAUAUUUAGACCAUUUUCUUAAGCCUCCAGGUAUUUUUUCAGAAUUUUUAGUUGAUGUUAUCUAUAAUGAUUCAGCAGUUCAUUAAGAUGGUGGAAUGGUAUAUGGUUGCAUUCAGAUUGAUACUAAAACAGUUCCUUUUAGUGGUGAACAUGUUUAAUUAAUCAUGUUAUUUUGGUUAGAUAGUG